rnacentral:rRNA from 1 species
CCUACGGGGGGCUGCAGUGGGGAAUAUUGGACAAUGGGCGAAAGCCUGAUCCAGCCAUGCCGCGUGUGUGAAGAAGGCCUUCGGGUUGUAAAGCACUUUCAGUGGGGAAGAAAGCCUUGGGGCUAAUACCCUCGAGGAAGGACAUCACCCACAGAAGAAGCACCGGCUAACUCCGUGCCAGCAGCCGCGGUAAUACGGAGGGUGCGAGCGUUAAUCGGAAUUACUGGGCGUAAAGCGCGCGUAGGCGGUCUGAUAAGCCGGUUGUGAAAGCCCCGGGCUCAACCUGGGAACGGCAUCCGGAACUGUCAGGCUAGAGUGCAGGAGAGGAAGGUAGAAUUCCCGGUGUAGCGGUGAAAUGCGUAGAGAUCGGGAGGAAUACCAGUGGCGAAGGCGGCCUUCUGGACUGACACUGACGCUGAGGUGCGAAAGCGUGGGUAGCAAACAGGAUUAGAUACCCUAGUAGC